GUUAGGAAUAUUGGACAAUGGGCGCAAGCCUGAUCCAGCCAUGCCGCGUGAGUGAUGAAGGCCUUCGGGUUGUAAAGCUCUUUAGCCGAUGAUUAUAAUGACUGUAGUCGGAAAAUAAGCCCCGGCUAACUUCGUGCCAGCAGCCGCGGUAAUACGAAGGGGGCGAGCGUUAUUCGGAAUCACUGGGCGUAAAGCGUGCGUAGGCGGUUUUGUAAGUUGGGAGUGAAAGCCCAGGGCUCAACCCUGGAAUUGCUCUCAAAACUACAAGACUUGAAUUCGGGAGAGGAUAGCGGAAUUGUCAGUGUAGCAGUGAAAUGCGUAGAUAUUGACAGGAACACCAGUGGCGUAAGCGGCUAUCUGGACCGACAUUGACGCUGAGGCACGAAAGCGUGGGGAUCAAACAGGAUUAGAAACCCUAGUAGUCC
rnacentral:rRNA from 1 species